UAUUCUCAGGGCGGGGUGGAAGUCCCCACCGGCGGUAAAUUUAUGCAUAACGCAUGCCUUUAAAGGCGUGGCGAAAUCAUAAAAAGCCCGCGAGCGCUUACGCUGCAAAGUGUAAGGACAGCAGAUCUGGUGUAAUUCCAGAGCCGACGGUUAGAGUCCGGAUGGGAGAGAGU
rnacentral:ncRNA from 1 species